AUGUACGUGGUCACCUCGGCCACGCACGUCCUUUCUGCACAUACUAUGCACGUGGUCAAACCAGUGAUGCGCGCCCGUGUGUUGACACCAGAUUUUGGCACGGUCAAUAACUUAUUUAAGAUGGCUUUAAAUGGAGAAGUGAUCUACAUGAAAGAGUUCCGUAUUGUUGAUAUGGACAUCUUUGAAGUUUGGGCCAUCGCCGUCCGGUUUCAUCUCGAAGGCCGAAACUAUGCUCAAAGUACUAAAUCUUAUAUUCAGAGUACAGUUUGGCCGAUUAGGCCCCCAAGAAGACCUCAAACAGAAAAAUGA
rnacentral:rRNA from 1 species